AGUCGAACGAAGGCUUCGGCCUUAGUGGCGCACGGGUGCGUAACGCGUGGGAAUCUGCCCUUAGGUUCGGAAUAACAGCUGGAAACGGCUGCUAAUACCGGAUGAUAUCGCGAGAUCAAAGAUUUAUCGCCUAAGGAUGAGCCCGCGUUGGAUUAGGUAGUUGGUGGGGUAAAGGCCUACCAAGCCGACGAUCCAUAGCUGGUCUGAGAGGAUGAUCAGCCACACUGGGACUGAGACACGGCCCAGACUCCUACGGGAGGCAGCAGUGGGGAAUAUUGGACAAUGGGCGAAAGCCUGAUCCCAGCAAUGCCGCGUGAGUGAUGAAGGCCCUAGGGGUUGUAAAGCUCUUUUACCCGGGGAAGAUAAUUGACUGUACCGGGAGAAUAAGCCCCGGGCUAACUCCGUGCCCAGCAGCCGCGGGUAAUACGGAAGGGGGCUAGCGUUUGUUCGGAAUUACUGGGGCGUAAAAGCGCACGUUAGGCGGGCUUUGUAAGUCAGAGGGUGAAAGCCCUGGAGCUCAACUUCCAGAAACUGCCUUUUGAGACUGCAUCCGCUUGAAUCCAGGAGGAGGUCCAGUGGAAUUCCGGAGUGUAGAGGGUGAAAUUUCGUAGAUAUUCGGAAGAACACCCAGUGGGCGAAGGCGGCUGGACUGGGACUGGGUAUUGACGCUGAGGGUGCGAAAAGCGUGGGGGAGCAAACCAGGAUUUAGAUACCCUGGGUAGUCCACCGCCGUAAAACGAUGAUAAACUAGCUGUUCCGGGCACUUGGGUGCUUGGGUGGCGCAAGCUAACGCCAUUAAAGUUAUCCGGCCUGGGGGAGUACGGGCCGCAAAGGUUAAAAACUCAAAGGGAAUUGACCGGGGGCCUGCCACAAGCGGUUGGAGCAUGUGGUUUAAUUCGAAGCCAACGCCGCAGAAACCUUACCCAGCGUUUGACAUGUCCCGGACGAUUUCCCAGAGAUGGAAUUUCUUCCCUUCGGGGACUGGAAACACCAGGUGCUGCAUGGCUGUCGUCAGCUCGUGUCGUGAGAUGUUGGGUUAAGUCCCCGCAAACGAGCGCAAACCCUCGCCCUUUAGUUACCAUCCAUUGAGUUGGGUACUCUAAAGGAACCGCCCGGUGAUAAGCCCGGAGGAAGGUGGGGAUGACGUCAAGUCCCUCAUGGCCCUUACGCGCUGGGCUACACACGUGCUACAAUGGCAACUACAGUGGGCAGCGACCCUGCGAGGGCGAGCUAAUCCCCAAAAGUUGUCUCAGUUCGGAUUGUUCUCUGCAACUCGAGAGCAUGAAGGCGGAAUCGCUAGUAAUCGCGGAUCAGCAUGCCGCGGUGAAUACGUUCCCAGGCCUGUACACACCGCCCGUCACACCAUGGGAGUUGGAUUCACCCGAAGGCGUGCGCCAACCUAGCAAUAGGAAGCAGGCGACCACG
rnacentral:rRNA from 1 species